CCAGACUCCUACGGGAGGCAGCAGUGGGGGAUAUUGCACAAUGGGGGAAACCCUGAUGCAACGACGCCGCGUGGGCGAAGAAGUAUUUCGGUAUGUAAAGCCCUAUCAGCAGGGAAGAAGAAAUGACGGUACCUGAGUAAGAAGCACCGGCUAAAUACGUGCCAGCAGCCGCGGUAAUACGUAGGGGGCGAGCGUUAUCCGGAUUCACUGGGUGUAAAGGGAGCGUAGACGGCCAUGCAAGCCAGGGGUGAAAGCCCGGGGCCCAACCCCGGGACUGCCCUUGGAACUGCAUGGCUGGAGUGCGGGAGGGGCAGGCGGAAUUCCUGGUGUAGCGGUGAAAUGCGUAGAUAUCAGGAGGAACACCGGCGGCGAAGGCGGCCUGCUGGACCGCGACUGACGUUGAGGCUCGAAAGCGUGGGGAGCGAACAGGAUUAGAUACCCGAGUA
rnacentral:rRNA from 1 species